rnacentral:tRNA from 2 species
UGCGGGGUGGAGCAGUCUGGUAGCUCGUCGGGCUCAUAACCCGAAGGUCAUCGGUUCAAAUCCGGUCCCCGCGACCA